GUCCAAUAAAAAGCAUAAAUGAUAAAAUGGGGGAAGGAAGCGCGAAAUCCCUAACAAUCGCGGAGCUAGUCCGUGAAUGUCGUCCUCGCACCGGCGCAUGGUCACUCAUUUCCAGUCCUUGUCUGAGAAUUCCAUCACCCCAGUUUUUACCCUCCCUCACCACUCCCACACUGUGUUCCCACAAAAUACUCAAAUCCCUUAACUACCCAACUCUUCUUACUGGAAUCCUUUUUCUACCUCCUCAUGGAGAUGGACACGAUUCACCUCUCAACUGCAAUUGUUUUCGUUUCUCUGAUGGCUAUGACACUAUUUGUUGUGACAUUAUUGGGUUUAAUCCCUCUAUGAUUAACAAAAAGGUUCAAAUUUUAGGUUGGAAUUUCAUACCCUUCAACUGUAAUGCUA
rnacentral:misc_RNA from 1 species